rnacentral:lncRNA from 1 species
CUGGCCAAUGAGAAGAUCAAAUAUGACUCAAAGACCAAGGAGCUCCAGGAUGCUUUGGAACAGUCCAAUGAGGAGAUGGCAGAGAAAGACUUCCUCCUAACAGAGAAGGAGAUUAAUCUGAAGGAGCUGGAAGCUGCCGUAAAGACAUUCAACUGCACACUGCAGGAAAAAGAUCAAUUGCUACAGGAGGGCCAUGUGUGCACAUGCCCUGACAUGACCACUGGUCACCAUCAGGAAUCAGUGUUACAGCAGCAGGUUGAAGAGGUGAAGGAGAAUUCUGAGUGCAGAGAGCCAGGGAAGAGCUGCUGUCUGUAGUAGAGCAGAACAACCGGACAGAUUGAGCGUCUUCAGAAGGCUCUGCUGGACAUCCAAACACACCCGCCUGCCCAAGAAGAUCUCCUGUCUCACAUCCAAGAUGCUAUAAAUGUACUUUACCUCAAUGCAUACUAUUUCAUUGUGGUGAUUCCAGUACUUAACCACAUAUUGAUUGCGGUUUGUUAAUUUAUGAGAG